rnacentral:rRNA from 1 species
AUACGUAGGGUGCAAGCGUUAAUCGGAAUUACUGGGCGUAAAGCGUGCGCAGGCGGUUGUGCAAGACAGAUGUGAAAUCCCCGGGCUUAACCUGGGAACUGCAUUUGUGACUGCACGGCUAGAGUGCGGCAGAGGGGGAUGGAAUUCCGCGUGUAGCAGUGAAAUGCGUAGAUAUGCGGAGGAACACCGAUGGCGAAGGCAAUCCCCUGGGCCUGCACUGACGCUCAUGCACGAAAGCGUGGGGAGC